UCGAUUUGUACUGUGCAUGUGCAAAAGCGCAUCACGACCCUUGUCCUGCGAAUGUGCUCGAUUAGAUAUUUGGUGAUGAGUAGGCCUAUAUGUGAUAGCAGUAUGGACUCUUUUGCAUUUGAUGUACAACUUAAAUAUUAUCUCUUAAAAGGAGAAAUUCCUGACAGCCCUACAGAGCGUCGGAAGGUAAAACGGGCGUCUACGAAUGAUACCCUCAAAGAUGACAGACUCUUCUACACGGGCCCUAGCAGAGCAGGCAGUACAUACGGCUAGUUGUCCUGUCAGAGGAAGAGAAAACAUCUGAUCUUACAGAGUGCCACAAUAACCCAGGAACUGGCAAUCAAGAGUGGUGUGGGUUAUUGCUGGCUACUAUUGGUCCACAAUAAUCAACGACGUGAAAGAAUGGGUAAUAUACUACAGAGGUGGUACUUUACUUUACUGAAUGACCCCAUCAAACUGUUGUGCCAGUCUUGCAUUCCAUUAAGGUACUGCUUACAAUAUUUGUGCAUACUCAUGAGACUAACAAGCUAGUCUCAAGCUUGUGUACAGUUUUACCAGCAUUUGACUGAUGCUAAUUUUGUCCCAUGCAGUUAAAAGAAGCUUGGGAGGUGCUUGGUUUAGAUUGAUUGGACCACUACUAGAAACAGAACACAGCAACAAGUAUGUCCGUACCAUGACUGACCUGUACACCAAGUGGGUGAUUUCAGAACCCAUGCAGUCUAAGACAGCAGCUGAAGCUGAGACAAUGCAUAAUUUUAAACCUGGCAGCUUUCACAAGGAUGUAAACGAUCUGCCUUUAAUUUCAGGUGGGAAAUGCUUGCCUCAAGAUUGUAGGAGAAGCUGCACGACAACAUUUACUGUGUACUAUUGUGGCCCGGUUUCACAGACAAGGCUUUAGCUUACGCCAGGACUAGGCCUUAGUUAAUUAUCUGCAUGCUGAUGUAUGCACCUGCACAUCGUGUCCAUUAACAUUCACAGAGGUAAGCUGGAUUUUCACACAAGAAAACAUAAUGCCAUCAAACUACUGUGUGUGCGUUCGUGCAUGUGUGUGUGUUUUAGGAGGAGGUUCUAUUGAUUUGCCAGUGGUGGUGCAUUCAACAAGUGUAUGAUAGACUAUCCUACUAUAUACUGUAGACUAUGAUUCUGGAAGUUGUGCUGUUUUAAUCCUGCUGGAUCUCAGUGCGGCAUUUGACACUCUUGAUCAUGGCAUUCUUUUAAAUCGCCUACAGCAAAUUGGGAUUCAAGGUUGUGUGUUAAAUUGGUUUAUAUCCUAUUUAAAGGGCCGAACUUUUUCAGUAGAGAAUGGCAAAUAUUCUUCAACUUGUGCACCAGUCUUAUAUGGGGUUCCACAGGGCUCAAUUUUAGGUCCUGUUUUAUUUUCUUUGUACAUGCUUCCUUUAUAUGCCAUAUUUAAAAAGCACAAUGUUUCUUACCACUGUUACGCAGAUGAUACUCAGUGUUAUGUUCCUCUGCACCCUAAGGAUGGCUCCAGCCUGCAGCAUUUGUUUGAUUGUAUAAGAGAUGUUAAACAGUUGAUGUCUGCCAACUUCCUCCAGUUAAAUGAGUCUAAGACUGAGGUCUUACUUUUUGGCUCCCCUGCUUCUUCAGAGGUUGUGGCCAGUAAACUAGGACCUCUAUCUGGUAAUCUUCAUUCACAUGUUAGAAACAUAGGCGUUAUUUUUGACUCUACUCUGACUUUUGAUAAACAGAUCAAUGCUGUGGUUAGGAGUUGUUUUUAUCAGUUAAAGAAUAUUGCAAAGAUGAAGUCAUUCUUAACAUUAAGAGACAUGGAGUCUGUAAUACAUGCUUUUAUCUCAUCCCGAUUAGAUUAUUGUAAUGGAUUGUACUUGGGUGUUUCACAGUCCCUAUUGUCACGUCUUCAACUUGUUCAAAAUGCUGCUGCCAGAUUGUUGACCGGAACAAGGAAGAGGGAACAUAUCUCACCAGUGCUGAUCUCUCUUCACUGGCUCCCAGUUAAACAUCGUAUCCAUUUUAAAACAUUGUUGUUUGUUUAUAAGGGUUUGCAUGGACUGGCUGCGUCAUAUAUCUCUGAUCUCCUGUUUCACUGUAAUGCUUCCAGGGAUCUACGAUCCACUAGUAGUCUUCAGUUGACUGUUCCAAGGUCACGUCUGAAAUCGAAAGGCGACCGUGCCUUUUCAGUGGCUGCCCCACAGCUUUGGAACAAUUUGCCAACUUACAUAAGAUUUGCUCCAACAUACACUGAUUUUAAGUCCCUUCUUAAAACGUAUUUAUUCAAUAUUGCAUACGGUCGCAAGUAAGCACAGUGGCAUAACUGUAGUGUAUUAUCUGUUGUUUUGUUUUGUUUACCUUUGUAUUUUGGUAUAUGUUUUAAUUUUUGUACAGCACUUUGGCCAACAGCUGUUGUUUUUAAAUGUGCUUUAUAAAUAAAUAUG